rnacentral:rRNA from 1 species
GACGAACGCUGGCGGCGUGCCUAAUACAUGCAAGUAGAACGCUGAAGGAGGAGCUUGCUUCUCCGGAUGAGUUGCGAACGGGUGAGUAACGCGUAGGUAACCUGCCUGGUAGCGGGGGAUAACUAUUGGAAACGAUAGCUAAUACCGCAUAACAGUAGAUGUUGCAUGACAUUUGCUUAAAAGGUGCAAUUGCAUCACUACCAGAUGGACCUGCGUUGUAUUAGCUAGUUGGUGAGGUAACGGCUCACCAAGGCGACGAUACAUAGCCGACCUGAGAGGGUGAGCGGCCCACCUGGGACGGAGACACGGCCCAGACUCCUACGGGAGGCAGCAGUAGGGAAUCUUCGGCAAUGGACGGAAGUCUGACCGAGCAACGCCGCGGGAGGGAAGAAGGUUUUCGGAUCGUAAAGCUCUGUUGUAAGAGAAGAACGAGUGUGAGAGUGGAAAGUUCACACUGUGACGGUAGCUUACCAGAAAGGGACGGCUAACUACGUG